CAAAUCACCGGAGGAAACUGAAAAAGGAAGUCCAUUCUAGAGUCAUCUGUUUUCCUUACUAAACUACUGGAGGAACUGACAGUCAAUUCAAUUUGCAACAUUUACCUAGCUUUCAUGCUUCUUUUCCUAUCCAAGCAGGAAUUUCUUAAAGCUGAGCAUCAGUCCUCCAUUCACCUCCCUAAAUCGCAUGCUACAGAUCU
rnacentral:lncRNA from 1 species